UUGGAGGUUACAAGAAAACUAUCAUCAAUCUGCUUUUGCAUUUCUUCUUUGAUCUUUACUGCCAUAUCAGGAUGCGUUCUUCUCAACUUCUGCUUGACCAAUGGGUAUUCUGGCUUCAACGGCAAUCUAUGCUCCACAAUCUCAGAAUCCAAACCAGGCAUAUCUUGAUAAGACCAAGCAAACACAUCAGAGUAUUCUCG
rnacentral:lncRNA from 1 species